CAGCAGCCGCCGCGGUAAUACAGAGGGUGUGAGCGUUAAUCGGAUUUACUGGGCGUAAAGCGUGCGUAGGCGGCUUCUUAAGUCGGAUGUGAAAUCCCUGAGCUUAACUUAGGAAUUGCAUUCGAUACUGGGAAGCUAGAGUAUGGGAGAGGAUGGUAGAAUUCCAGGUGUAGCGGUGAAAUGCGUAGAGAUCUGGAGGAAUACCGAUGGCGAAGGCAGCCAUCUGGCCUAAUACUGACGCUGAGGUACGAAAGCAUGGGGAGCAAACAGGAUUAGAUACCCCUGUAGUCCCUGUCUCUUAUAC
rnacentral:rRNA from 1 species